GGAAGUUUCACCUGGUGUGAAAAAUGGGAGUAGAAGGAUCAUUGUAGCAAAUCAGUUACCAGUGAAAGCUUUUUGUAAAGAUGAAAAAGAGGGGAAAAAAUGGUGUUUUGAAUGGGACAGAUAUGCUUUAGAUACAUUGAUUUUGCAGCUGAAAGAUGGUUUGUCACCAGAUUUGGAGAUUGUUUAUGUUGGUUGUUUAAAAGCUGAUGUUGAAUUGAAUGAUCAAGAAGAAGUUGCUAAUUUCUUAUGGGAGAAAUUUAGGUGUGUACCAACUUUCUUGUCAUUAGAUUUGAUAAACAAGUAUUACCAUGGCUUUUGUAAGCAUUAUUUAUGGCCUUUGUUUCAUUACAUGUUGCCUUUAACAUCUAGUCAUGGUGUAAGAUUUGAUAGGUCUAAUUG
rnacentral:misc_RNA from 1 species